GCAGACACAUUCCAGCCAAUCAGCAGCAGACCCUCCCUCCCAGACCCUCCCACCUCCUGGACAGCUCAUUAAGAAUGCAGCUUCACAAAAAAUUUGUAAAAUGGAUGCUGUCCAGGAGGUGGGAGGGUCUGGGAGGGAGGGUCUGCUGCUGAUUGGCUGGAAUGUGUCUG
rnacentral:miRNA from 1 species